rnacentral:rRNA from 1 species
GACGAACGCUGGCGGCGUGCCUAACACAUGCAAGUGGAGCGACGAACCGGGCUUCGGCCCGGGGCCAAGCCGCGAACGGGUGAGUAACACGUGGGUAACCUGCCCUGAUGAUUGGGACAACCCGAGGAAACUCGGGCUAAUACCGAAUGUGCCCUCCGACCAUAAGGUCUGCGGGGAAAGGAAGCUUCGGCCUCCGCAUCGGGAUGGGCCCGCGGCGCAUUAGCUUGUUGGUGAGGCAACGGCUCACCAAGGCGACGAUGCGUAGCUGGUCUGAGAGGACGAUCAGCCACACUGGGACUGAGACACGGCCCAGACUCCUACGGGAGGCAGCAGUGGGGAAUCUUGCGCAAUGCGCGAAAGCGUGACGCAGCAACGCCGCGUGGGGAAGACGGCCU